CCUACGGGAGGCAGCAGUGGGGGAUAUUGCACAAUGGGGGAAACCCUGAUGCAGCAACGCCGCGUGAGGGAAGAAGGUUUUCGGAUUGUAAACCUCUGUUCUUAGUGACGAUAAUGACGGUAGCUAAGGAGAAAGCUCCGGCUAACUACGUGCCAGCAGCCGCGGUAAUACGUAGGGAGCGAGCGUUGUCCGGAUUUACUGGGUGUAAAGGGUGCGUAGGCGGCGAGGCAAGUCAGGCGUGAAAUCUAUGGGCUUAACCCAUAAACUGCGCUUGAAACUGUCUUGCUUGAGUGAAGUAGAGGUAGGCGGAAUUCCCGGUGUAGCGGUGAAAUGCGUAGAGAUCGGGAGGAACACCAGUGGCGAAGGCGGCCUACUGGGCUUUAACUGACGCUGAAGCACGAAAGCAUGGGUAGCAAACAGGAUU
rnacentral:rRNA from 1 species